rnacentral:rRNA from 1 species
UACGUAGGGUGCAAGCGUUGUCCGGAAUUAUUGGGCGUAAAGAGCUCGUAGGCGGUCUGUCGCGUCGGCUGUGAAAACCCGGAGCUCAACUCCGGGCCUGCAGUCGAUACGGGCAGACUGGAGUUCGGCAGGGGAGACUGGAAUUCCUGGUGUAGCGGUGAAAUGCGCAGAUAAUCAGGAGGAACACCGGUGGCGAAGGCGGAUCUCUGGGCCGUAACUGACGCUGAGGAGCGAACAGG